ensembl:lncRNA
GUGGAAUGCUACAAAACAGUGAAAUCUCUGUUUUCAGAAAAUCUUAGGAUGAAACAAUUAACUGAAAAUUAACAUUGUGGUUGUCUGUGAUUUGUUAUUCACAGAUUUACUAGAGGCAAAAAUACUGUAUAGCUGCCUCAAAGGAAUUACAGAAGACUAUAAAAAAACUAUUGGAUUUUGAAAAGGAGGCAAGUCUUUGAACAAUUCUUUUUCUUUGUUUACAGAUGUAGAUAUAGACAUCACACACACGCACACACAUGCACGCACACACACAAAUAAAUAAAAUAAAAUAAAAUCAAAAUAAAAUAAAGCCUCCAGUCUGACAGCAUCCGUUUGUGUUUCACGCCACAUUUUCUGUAAUUGUAAUAAGAUGUUUUGGGAAUGUUUCACAUGUGUUUGUUUCAUAUCUGUGCUGUGUUCAGUGGCAUCCACUGGCAGGUGGAGAGACAGACAUGGUGGAACCACAGGCGGAUGGUGAACCAGCUGCAGGGUAAAGCUAUGAAGUCUACGAGGUGUGCAGGCGAUUCUGCAAGGGAUGUGAUUGAAGAAGAAGAAUUCCCAGGAAGCACAGGAGGAGGAAACAUUACAGCAAACCUCAUGAGUUCUCAAACAAUGAAAAUAAACUUUAAGACUAUAAACAGAGAAGCCCUGCAGAAAGAAUAGAGACAGCCUUUUUUUUUUUUUUUUGACACUUCAUUGACUUCUUUUAGGUGUUUAAAUGUGAACUCGGGAAGCACUAAAAUUGGCCUCACAGAAAAAGGUGAGUCAUGUUUUUUUGUGUGUGCACGCAUGUGUUUAUUUGGCAAAAACAAUGUUGUUUUAAGGAUGGAUAUUAGAGAUAAAUGUAUAUUAGGGAGGCAUAGAUGAGAGACUGUUUCUGUUUGAGUAGGUUUUUUUUUUUUUUUUUUUUGCUCAGUAAGUUGCUAAGCCUUUUCCUUUAGAGAUGGCAUGUAUGUCUCUCUCUCUCUCUCUCUCUCUGUGUGUGUGUGUGUUUAGAGUAGAAGGUGUGUGUCCUCCCUGACCCCUCCUGCAUCUUUACCGCCACCCAUCUGUUUACUGACUCAUGAAAAAUUCAUGAGUAUGUGUUUGGGAGCAGUGGAAUAAUUUUCAAUAUUUAGCCAGGCUAUGAAUACAGAUGAUGUUGAACUUUGGUGUAUUGCGGCGGCGUACGUGAAGGUGCGUGUAGCUGGUGUCGUGGCAGGCUGAGGUCAGUGGGCUUAAUGAGGGAGUGAAGAAGCCGCGGAUCCACACACGUGUGCUGAGUGAGACGUGUCACCUGUAGGAGACCCGUGACUGGACAGGAGGGGUGGGACAGACUAGAUCCAAAGCCAACUGCAACUAAUAUAUCAGCAGCUGUCAAUCAAACACACUCAAUAAAAGUAACCAUAUGCAAUUCA